GGUUGUUGACGACGCCAUCACGUGAAGGAAAAACUGAUAAUUAAGUUUUCUUCAAAAGUAUAGUGGCGCCUUACGGUUAUACCAUGGUAGAUGGACAAUGACCAUUCACCACAUAUCCCAAAAAAUAUUUUUUAUAUUGAUAUGAUUGCAGUCAAUGUGAUUUGGAAGGAGAUUUACAGAGGCUUAACGAGGACGAGGACGCCAUUGUUAAGGAGGUUGUUCAACUGAAGAAGGAACAGGAAAGUAUUGAUAGAGAACUUGAGGAUAUGCAGAGACGCUUCGCCUUCACAGAGCAAAAACCUCAGCAGAUGAUGUCGUUCCUCCAAACAUUUACUCAAAAUCCAAAUUUAUUCUCUGAGACGCUUCAAAAGAGGCAUCUUGAUGUUGCUAAAAAGAGGAGAUUGUUGCGAAUGCCACAUAAGGAGGAGCAGAAAAAAAUUAGGACUGAAUUGGGCUUGGAGUGUUCUAGAACAAAUUCUUUGACUUCACCAAAUGGGUUUCUAGAUCUUGGGAUGAGUAGCAAUUCAUUUAUUAAAGAUGGGUUUGAAGAUUGUGUGCCUCUGAUAGAUUCUGAGACCAGGGCUGGACUGAUAUCUAAGGAGUUAAUGGGUACUUGUUCACUUGGAAAUCAGAGCUCAGAGAAGUGUAUUGACAAGGCUGAUUUUGAGGUGGUUGUGGGUUUUGCCAAGGAUUUUGUGGGUUUGAGUGGUCUGGAUGACAUGAUUUCAUGGGAUCAGGAGGACCGUUGUUGCUCCAAUGGAGUAUAACAGUUCAGUUAAGUUGAACAACUAUUUUAUAAUAUGAGCUUUUAAGCAGUGCAGCAGAAGCUGUAGUUUGCAGGUCAUCGGCCAGUCAUGGCAUUGAAGCCUAGUCAUACACACUUUGAAUCUGCAGCUAUUUAUGUGAUCUGUUUUGGUUUAGAUUGCAUCGCUUCAUUUAUCCUAUAGAUCUUUCUAGAUUCCAUUUUUUUAUGAAAUCUAGGGCUGAAUUGGGCUUGGAUUGUUCUAGAACAAAUGCUUGCACUACACCAAAUGGGUUUUUGGAUCCUGGGAUGAGUAGCAAUUCAUUAAUUGCAGAUGAGUUUUAAAGAUUGUGUGCCUCUGAGACCAGGGCUGGACUGCUAUCUAAGGAGUUAAUGGCUACUUGUUCACUUGGAAAUCACAGCUUAGAAAAGUGUAUUGAAAACGCUGAUUUUGGGGUGGGCUUCGGAAAGGAUUUUGUGGGUUUGAGUGGUAUGGAUGACAUGGUUUCCUGGGAUCAGAUAUUCGCUGAGGAAACCCAAUUCACCAGCUACAAAGUUCUUUCAGAAAUGCCGGGUCCCAGAUCAAUAAAUCAGCAGAUUUCAAAUAUAGAAGAAGUUGUGAUUGAUUUCCUUUCAGAAUGUUCAACGUCUUAGCAAGGCUACUCUGAAUAUUUCUGUCUGUUUGAAGAACAGCCUAAUCCAUUACAGUGGAAGUUGCGUCAGCUGUCUGGUCAAGUUGGUACCAUAUUAAUAUGGCUUUUACCGAGUCCUUUCAUAUUGUUGAAAUUUAUUUUGAGUGCUUUUUCCUGUCCAAAUAUUGAUAGCUUACAAGUUUAUUCUGUCCAAUUACAGGAGGGCCGUUGUUGCUCCCAUGCAGUAUAAUAGUUCAAUUAAAUGUAACAACCAUUUUUUUAUACUUUUAAGCAGUGCGGCAGCAGCACUAGUAUGCAGGAUUUCGGUUCAGCAGUAAUUCUGAAGGAAUUUGCCAUUCCUGAAUGGCACCUCAUCAAAGUUACAGUCAUGGCAUCACUUUCUGAGAUGACUUUUCAUUUGGAAUGGUUAUAAUGAAUAAUAAUAUGGUCAUUAAGUUUGACUGGUAAAAGUGAAGCAUUACCAUAAUGAUAAUUUGUGCUUUAUAUUUCCCCCAUAAAAAAUAGAUUGCUCCACUACUCUGAGAGGAUUCUGACUGUACGAAUAUAAAACAGGAUAGAGAAAAUAUUGCUUCCCAUUGGAAUGAGCAGAUCCGCACCAGUGGUGUGAUUAACAGUUCUCUCAUAUGUAAUCCGGUCGAGGAUGAUAUCAUCACUUUGUAUUUUUGGUUUAAUAUCUCUUUCAUCAGUA